rnacentral:lncRNA from 1 species
AGGGGAUAAAGGGUUACAUGGUGAAGAGAGAAAGUUGGCACAGCUAAGCAGACCAAGUGGGCUUCCUGGAGGAAGGGGCAUUCGAUUGAGAUUUGAAAGCUUUUUUUUUUUUUUUUAAAUUAUUUGACUGCACCGGGUCUUAGUUGUGGCAUGAGAACUCUGAGUUGUGGCAUGUGGGAUCUAGUUCCCUGACCAGGGAUCAAACCCAGGCCUCCUAAAUUGGGAGCGAGGAGUAUUAGCCACUGGACUACCAGGGAGGUCCCAGAUUUUUUUUUUUAAAUCUUGAGUGUUGAAAGGGAAGCAAGGUCGAGUGAAGUCCCUGACAGAAGGGGCAGCUGAGGUGAAGCAGGUGAGACCUGGACUGUGUCGAUCAGACCUAGUUGGGAUCCCAUUGCUAAGGAUGGACCAUGUGGCUUUGUGGAGGUGCCUUCUCCUCCGAACAUAUUUCCUCACUGGAAGAGAAGAAAGACUGUGAAGAUACUGAAACAACACGUGUGAAACAGCCACCCAACCCUGUGGGUGCUGCUCCUGUCUGGCUUACUCCGGUCUGACUCUAGUGGUGGCCUGGCGGGCGCUCCAGGCAGGUGGUGACACUCCUGUGUCUCUGGUUUGAAGGGAAUCAUUAGACAUCAAAUGAACACUCCUUAGGAAGAGAUAAAUGUUGUCCUCUGUCAGAGCCGUGGCCCUGUCACCAGGGCAGGUGACCAGGACUGCACAACCAACAGCCCAGGCUCUGCGGUUCCAGCUCUGCGUCCCGGCUGCUCUCCAGCAGGAAAGGAGGCCAAGGCCUGUGCCCACUUCACACAGAGCACCUCAGGGCCUCGCCCUGGGGUUCCUGCCAAAGAGUCCUUCUUGCAUCACACCUGGAGGCCACCCCAGCCAGCAAGUCCAUCAGGAGGAAUAACACGUUCAGUCAACAGGCACCUGCUUACACAUUUUCUACUCAGAGAUAACUGCUCAGUCAGAGCUCUUCAGACCUCAAAGUGGCCCGGGGCCUGGGUCUGGUGGGGAGGUGCUGCUUUGGCAACACAGAAGCCUCUGCUGCCUCUGGGAGCUGAGCCCACACCUUUCCUUCAAUCUGCAGGUGGUUUCAGAGAACAGAGCGUGCAAGCAGAAGAGGGCAGUGAGAAGGGUAUUGUCAAAGCAACAGUCCCCAGCACUGGGGCUGCAGAGGGUAGAACACAGGCCAAACAUUCAUGCUGACCACGUCAGAACCGCCAACAGGGCCUCUCUCUUCAAAUCUCUCCCAUGUGACUCUUCAGCUCUCCUCACAGGUGGGUGUUUUUGUGGCCGGAGGUGAUCGUGGGUUUGAACGGCCAUGGUAACGUGUCCAAUUUCUCAUGAUGAUCUACCAGGCUGGGAGCCUCUG